rnacentral:lncRNA from 1 species
GCCCACCCUCAAAAUUUGAAAAAAAAUUUCGUAUAAGGUUCACCCUUUUUCAAACCAUCUCUAAAAUAAUUUGAAACCCAAAAUCCAUCCAUUCACUCAAAUCAAUGCCAAAUCGUCAAAUCGGAAAGGUAGAAAGCAUGUUGAACAUCGUCGUCAUUCUAAUCCUCUUAAUUGAAAUUGGCACCGGUAGCGGGAGUCGGAGAUAGGAGAAAUUGAGCAAGACAGUAAUCAGGUUAUAUUUCUGAACAAAGUUAGGUAGUUGGGUAUAUGCUUACCAAUUACUAUUAUAUUUUGUUUUAUUCAAAGCCUUAAACUCAAUUUUCAAUUCAAAACUUAAACCCUAAAUCGUCAAUUUUCGGUGAUUUCUUACUAAAUUUUGCAUAUUUUCUAUGCUCAUAAGUUGUUCGACUAAAUGUUCCAACCAAUGUUUAUUGGGAAUAUUUAUUACAUCGACCAUAUAUACUUUUCUGGAAAAAUCUGUAAAUAAUAAAUAAACAGUGGAGACUAAAAAAACAUAGUUUGUUGCUGCAAAUUAGGGAUUACUCAUAUUAUUGGUAUUUUAGAAUUUGAAGAACUUUUACAUAGGUAAUAAUUGUAAGUUUUAAUCUUCUAUCUUCUUAUUCGAAAUUGAUAGCAAGAGUGGUAAGUUGUGCGUCCAAACUUCUGCUAACUCGAUCAAUCCUCACAAAGUUGUGAUUUCUCCUUAAAGAUAAAUAGUGUUGAGAAAGACCUAUAUGUUCAUUGUCCUUUUUUUUUGUUUUUCUCUUUUUACUUUGUUUAUAAUUUCUUUUGAUUGUAUGUAGUUAGGAUUUGGUUAUUGUUUUUGUUAAAAGAAACAAUGUUUUUCGUUUUCUAAUUAAUUUUUGAGAAACACCCUAAAAAAUAUUGUUGGCUUCGCCCCUGUACAUGGUCAUUCCAAGCCGAUUUGAUGCCCUGACGGGAAAAAAAAUAGUAAAGGACACCAGUACCUCUGAAAAUUUUAUUAAAUAAAAGAGAUAAUACAAUAGCAGUGUGGAGACUUCAAAAGACAUCCCCAAUAAGCCAAAUAACCUAACAACUAAAAAAAUUACAUAUCUGAGUUUGUUUAGAUGCAAAGUCGUUAAUAAUAGUAUUAAGGUCAAUAUUGUCCAACAUAUUGUAACACACGGUUCCUGGUACGUAUUUAAAAAUCAAGUAAGGUUGUAAUUUACUCCGGGACUCGGCGAGUUGGAUGCCCAACUCGUUGAGUAGACUCGACUUUUGAUCGGGGGUGUAAGUUUCCUACUCGACGAGUCGAGAGACCGACUCGACGAGUAGGAGCUCCUUGGACAAAACCCUAAUGUCUAGGAUUUGUGCACUAUUUAAACACUUUAUCUCAUCCCAAACCAGCCUCCAUCACCCUCCUAACUCAGAGAAACCCUAGAUUGAAACCCUAAACCCUUAUUGAGUGUUCUUGAGUCUUUUGGUGCUUUUUGUGUUUGUUUCAAGUUGGAGAAGAAGAAGGAAGCUUGGAAGUUCAAGUAGAAGCAAGGAGAUCCUAAAGUUUUACUUCAUUCUCAGCUCAUUCAAGGUAAAAAGUUGGAACCUUGACCAUUUAUCUCUUAGAUUUUGAUUUGGGGCUAUUUCUACCCUUUUUAUGAGCAUAGAGAAGCCAGAAUUGGAUUUUGUGGGUGUUCUUGGAGUUGCACCUCAGAUUUGGGGCUGUUAGGGGUCCUGAUGGCAUAAAGGUGCCAACUUUGUCGCCAUAAACACCUCAUGCAUCUUAUAAACCUUCUUUUAUGGUUUUUUGAGCUAAAGGCCCCAUGAAUGUACAUCAAGUUUGUAGCUUUACGUAUAAAAUGGACCCUAGGAGGCCAGAUCUAUGGUUUUGAUCCGUUAAGACCCAUUAUAAUCGACUAUAUAUUUUUGGACAAAUAUGGACUCGGCGAUUCGUUCAUGGGACUCGGCGAUUCGGGGUGUAUUUUCCCCCCAAAUCCUUUCUGUGUUAUGGACUAUAUGUUAAGAUCGAAGGCUCUCCAGUUGUUAAGGUUCAUUAGGGACCUGAAAAUGAUAGGACUCAGCGAGUGGAUGAACAAAGUCGGCAAGUUCUAGGCAAUGUCCCAGCCAUAUGAAGAUGGACUCGGCGAGUUCAAGGAGAACUCGGUGAGUCAUAGACUGAGCACCUUCUUAUGGAUGAAGAUGAACUCGACGAGUUCAAGGACAAACUCGGCAAGUCGAUUGAGGAUAGUUCGAUGUGUUAGUCGGUUGAGGAUACUCUGAUGUGUUGUUGAAGGCGAACUCGUCGAGCUCUUACUAGACUCAACGAGUAGGAACGACAUUAUAGCAUUCUGUGGAUAUGGGGACUCGACAAGUUGGCUGACCAACUCGACGAGUCGAGUCAACCAAAUGUUGACUUUGGCCAAAAGUUGACUUUCACCAAGGAUUUGACUUUGACUUUGAUUUGGAUUUGAGUGACUCUUGUAAGGGUUAUGAGUAUGCAUUGAUAACUUGGAAAGGUUGUCGUGUAGGGAUUGAGGAGUCAGGGAGAGUCAGUUUUCACACCAAGGACAGUGCAGACACUACAUGAUGUUGAGGUGAGUUACCCUUUAGUAGAAGUGGGUCUAAGGCACCAAGGCUGACCCACUAGUAGUUGAUUACAGUUGAGAUGAUUGCCUUUGUGAUAAUUGUCUGGUUUGCUAUUACUUGAUGUGUUCUAUGUGCCAGUAUGAUAUGUUCUACGUGAUAGUAGUAGUAGGGUGAAACAGUCCCCGUGACUAGGUGAGAUAGACUGGAGGGUAGGCAGGCACCCCAGAAUGACCUGACAUGGGUAGGCCAGCACCCCGGAAUGGCUUCACAUGCGUUGGUCAGCACCCCAGAAUGGCUUAACAUGGGUAGGUCGGGCACCCUAGAAUUGCCAGGCAGUAUAUAUGAUUGUAUGGUAUGUGGUAUGAUGGGGGAAAUCACUAAGCUUCGUGCUUAAAGUUUUUAGUUUUGGUUUCAGGUACCUCCUCAACUAAGGGGAAGGAGCUGGCAGGGUAGCAGCACAUCGCACACACAUGAUUUCCACUUUGAGAGACCUGGGAUUGUACUCUCAUGUUUUUCUAUUUGAUGAUAUGUUUUUU